GACGAACCGUGCGAACGUUGUUCGGAUUCACUGGGCUUAAAGGGCGCGUAGGCGGGCGGCCAAGUCAGGGGUGAAAUCUUUCGGCUCAACCGGAAAAGGGCCUCUGAUACUGGCCGCCUCGAGGGAGGUAGGGGCAUGCGGAACUUCCGGUGGAGCGGUGAAAUGCGUAGAUAUCGGAAGGAACGCCGGUGGCGAAAGCGGCGUGCUGGACCUCUGCUGACGCUGAGGCGCGAAAGCCAGGGGAGCGAACGGG
rnacentral:rRNA from 1 species